rnacentral:rRNA from 1 species
UGAGGAAUAUUGGUCAAUGGGCGAGAGCCUGAACCAGCCAAGUAGCGUGCAGGAUGACGGCCCUAUGGGUUGUAAACUGCUUUUAUAUGGGGAUAAAGUGGGGAACGUGUUCCCUUUUGCAGGUACCAUAUGAAUAAGGACCGGCUAAUUCCGUGCCAGCAGCCGCGGUAAUACGGAAGGUUCGGGCGUUAUCCGGAUUUAUUGGGUUUAAAGGGAGCGUAGGCCGUUUGGUAAGCGUGUUGUGAAAUGUAGGAGCUCAACUUCUAGAUUGCAGCGCGAACUGUCAGACUUGAGUGCGCACAACGUAGGCGGAAUUCAUGGUGUAGCGGUGAAAUGCUUAGAUAUCAUGAAGAACUCCGAUUGCGAAGGCAGCUUACGGGAGCGCAACUGACGCUGAAGAUCGAAGGUGCGGGUAUCGAACAGG